AUCUACCCCGCAGUGCGGAAUACCGGCGAGAAAUCGCCGACAAGACCGCAUGGGCUGCCUCUCGUUAUGGGGAGGCAGCAAAGGUUUUCGCAAGAGAACCGCUCUGGGAUGAGCCUGCGGCUGAUUAGCUGGCUGGGGGGGUAACGGCCUCCCAGGGCGACGAUCAGUAGCUGGUCUGAGAGGACGAGCAGCCACACUGGGAUUGAGAACGGCCCAG
rnacentral:rRNA from 1 species